GUGUUUUCUUUGGCAGCAUGAACACUGAUGUUGGGAUAACACAGAGAAGGUUAGAAUGGUUCAGCACAAGGUGACAUACAAAGUUGUGAAGCAUUCUAUAUUCUU
rnacentral:snRNA from 1 species